GCCCCGCUAACUCAACUGGUAGAGUACCUGCCUUUUAAGCAGUAAGUUGGAGGUUCGAGUCCUCCGCGGGGCACAA
rnacentral:tRNA from 1 species